rnacentral:rRNA from 1 species
AGCGUAGACGGCGAGACAAGUCUGAAGUGAAAGCCCGGGGCUCAACCCCGGGACUGCUUUGGAAACUGCCUUGCUAGAGUGCUGGAGAGGUAAGUGGAAUUCCUAGUGUAGCGGUGAAAUGCGUAGAUAUUAGGAGGAACACCAGUGGCGAAGGCGGCUUACUGGACAGUAACUGACGUUGAGGCUCGAAAGCAUGGGUAGCAAACA